GAUGAAGAACGCAGCGAAAUGCGAUACGUAAUGUGAAUUGCAGAAUUCAGUGAAUCAUCGAGUCUUUGAACGCACAUUGCGCCCCCUGGUAUUCCGGGGGGCAUGCCUGUCCGAGCGUCAUUGCUGCCCUCAAGCACGGCUUGUGUGUUGGGCCUCCGUCCUCCUCCCGGGGACGGGCCCGAAAGGCAGCGGCGGCACCGCGUCCGGUCCUCGAGCGUAUGGGGCUUCGUCACCCGCUCUUGUAGGCCCGGCCGGCGCUUGCCGACACAUCAAUCUUUUUUCCAGGUUGACCUCGGAUCAGGUAGGGAUACCCGCUGAACUUAAGCAUAUCAAUAGCGGAGGA
rnacentral:misc_RNA from 1 species